UGCACUCUACAGUUCCGCAUUGUGGUUAUCAUGCAGUCAUUCACAACCAAUACGAGAUCGAUCGACUAGAGCAGAGGAAGAAAUGUUUUGUCUAUUUGAAAAGUUAGCUGUCAUAAACACAAAUGAUUACUAUACCGUUUAGCUCAGUUGAAGUGAUGAUUAGGUUGUGAGUUAGUGAUGGAGAACAUUGACGAGACACCGUUUCGGAUCACCCGUACCGUCCAAGCUCUGGGCUCCGCACUACGGGGAGAGCCUGAAAAUGUUCCCGAUGCCGGUCAGGGUAGCAGUGACAGAAUCUCGAGUGAGCCGGAGAAGCUUUGGUUUAAAGAAAGCAGCGCUAAGAAUCUCCAAAACAGGGAUUUCUUGUCACCCACUACGGUGCUGAAUACGCUUUAUGCAGACGGACAGGUUCCCCCAGCAGUGAUGGGUAGAGUGCUGUCCCUGAAAGGGUGUGGGGUUCUCCCUGUGGCUGGUGGGGAGGUCAUGGGAGAGGGGCUGAGGGUGCGGGUUGACCGGAUUGCCGCGUUUCAGAAGGUCCUGAGUGGAGUGUCGGCGUACCUGAAGCCUCCUAGCCAGAGACAGGGGGGUGUGGUGCUCAACUGCCCGGCCCUUCACCCCAAACCCAAUUUACCCUCCCCGGACACACUCACGCUGGGGCAACUACGCACCGUGCUGCUGACUGACCACUUAGGGGCGCUACUGAGGAGACAGGGGUUUACUGUGUCCUGCUGCCCUGUGCUGCCUGAAGAUAGCAACAUCAUCGUCUUCCUCCGAAUGCUUGGCGUCGAUUGGCCGUCAGUGCCGGUCAGCUGGACCAAUGACGAGAGGGAGGAGAAGAUGUUGGAGGCUUUACAGAAUUCCCCGUACAAAGAAAGAGAGGAGACAGAUGGAGGAAGGCGAGAGAGUGAAGGAAAGAAGAUGGAGGGAGAGAAGGAGUGGGGGACGCUCAGGGUGAACUUGAAGAGGGUGUUUCAGGAGGAGCAACUGCCAGGGUAUGACCCCAGCCUGGGUACCUGUACAGUGCAACGAGACAGUGUGUCUCAUCUGGCCCAACUGGACAGGGCUACUGCAGACUGCACAGUAUCCACAGCAACCGCGGUACAUGUCACUUCCUGUCAGGAUGAGUUCCGUCAGCAGCAGAUAGCGAUGCUAUGGAGAGCCAGCGGUGCAACAGUGACACAGACCAUCCCUGGAGACCUUCUCCCAUUCCUCACUUCCUUCAUGAACUCAUCCCUGACCGUUUCCCCAUCUGACUUUAAGAUGGCCAGAGUCAAGAAGCCAACACUCGACUCCUCUGACGUCAAAAACAACAGACCGAUUGAUCCGUUGCCUUCGACACCGUGGACCAAUAGAUCCUCCUUCCCACCCUCUCAGGGUUUGGCCGUCUCAGGCUCUGCACACUCCUGGAUUGCAUCCCACCUGGCAGGUCGCUCUCACCAGUUGGCGUGUCAUUGCUACGCAGAUGACACUCAUAUACUCCCCCCCCCCCCUUCUGACACCCAGGUGGCGACACGCAUCUCAGCUUGGAUGUCGGCCCACCACCUCAAGCUCAACUUCGACAGAACGUGUUUGACAACUUCAAGGUGUUCCCCUCCCAGAGUGCAAAGAACCUUGGCGGGACCCUGGAUAACUCCCUGUCGUUCUCUGCAAACAUCAAAGCAGUGACUCGCUCCUGCAGGUUCAUGCUCUACAACAUCCGUAGAGUACCUUUCCUCACACAGGAAGUGGGGCAGGUCAUAAUCCAGGCAUUUGACAUCUCCCGUCAAGACAACUGCAACUCUGUUGGCUGGGCUCCCCACUUGUGCCAUCAAACCAGAGUAUGUGGGCGGAGCUGGAGCGGACCGUGCCCAAUUUGACUGGAGCGAGAUUCUCAAAGGCUGGAGCGUCGGCCUUCUCGCCUGCUCCUAUUUCCAUCCAGUAGCGCUCACUUCACGAGCUCAGGGCAUUCCCGGCCCAGCAUGCAUCUGUAGUCUACUUGUGUGCUGCUAUAACCCCUUAAUGUCAUGUAGUUCGCUAAAUAUUUCCAUAAAGAAACUGAUAAAACAUACAGGUGCAAAGUCAAAGGUGACUUAUAAAGAUGAGGACCAAGAGAAAGAGAGGGAGUGCGGUGGUGUAGUGUCCACAACUAAAUAAUCAUUGUGGAAUCUGAAAAGGCACGUAUAUUGAAAGCAUGAUGGUGUACUUACUAGGUGCACAUGCUAAAAGAAAGGAACGAACUGGGUAGAUAACUAAGUGUGUCAUUGUAGCAAAGUAUUUCUAAACUAAAAAUCAGAUCUCUUAAACGUUUAGCAAAUGUUUUGUUCUAUUAUCUAUACAUUAGACCAUAAUUGAUUUUUUCAUUUAAUUUUGUAUUUAAUUCUUAGUAAAUCACAGCCUAUUAUGCACAAUUUAUAGACUACAAUGAUUUAACACAUCAAAAUGUUGUUUAAAAUGGUGAGCGCUUUAUGUCCCUACCAGCCUAUUGUCACACUCGCAAAUGCUUCACUGUGUAUUUAUUUGUAGGCAAAAGCCUUGAAAUAAUAGAGCCUAAAUAAUUCCUUCUUAGGCUCCCUGUCUGGCUCCUGACCUAUCUAGGGUGCUGUUUAGUAAUUCGAUUUGAAAUUAUGUGCGCUUCUUACAUUCAGCUUUUCAUGUUUAUUCAAAUACUUUUAAUUCCAAAUCCAUAUGAUUUGGUUUCAAUACUUCAAAACCAAAUGGUAGGUCCAGGUAGUCAGAAAAAUAGAUGUUUGUUGGUAAAAUUGUGAUUUUAAUGAAUGGAGCGGAUGUUUUUUGUUGUAGUGAGUGCGGAGCGGUUUUUAACGGAGCGGUUGGAAAGGACAUGGGAGUGCUCAACUCCGCUCACAUGCUCUGUAUCGAACCCAUGCAAAUGAUCCAGAAUGCUGCAGCCCGGCCGGUGUUCGGCCUUCCUAAGGUCUCCCAUGUCGCCCCGCUCCUCCGCACACUCCACUGGCUUUCAGUGGAAGCUCGCAUCAUCUUCAAGACCCUGGUGCUUGCCUAUGGAGCAGCACGAGGAACGGCCUUCAGGCUAUGCUCAAAACCCUACACCCCCAACAGGAGCACUCCUGCCACCUCUGGUCUCUUGGCCCUCCCACUCCUACGGGAUGGCAGCUCCCACUCAGCCCAGUCAAUGAUCUUCUCUGUCCUGGCACCCCAAUGGUGGAACAAGCUUCCCCCUAAAGUAAGGGGGAAAACGUCUGAAACCCGGCCUCUUUGAAGAGUACCUUUUUAAAGCUAAAAUAUGUAACUUAUUGGGCGACCCGACCAAAUUCACAUAGAAAUGUGUGUUGUAGAUCUGUCAUUCUCAUUGAAAGCAAGUCUAAGAAGCAGUAGAUCUGCUUUAUGUGCGCUAUUUUUAUGCUGCCAGUUCUUAAGUUUAGUUUUUGUGUCUUUUACUUUCGGUUUUGUACACUAGCUUCAAACAAUAUUUGGCGUUAUAUAAAUAGAUUUCACAGCGUUUUAGAUGUUACAAUGGUUCUCUACACUAUAGUUGAUUGUGUUGUCACAUGAACUAAAAUUAGGCGAACUAUUAGAAUUUUAGCAACCAGGAAAUGAGGGCGUGAUUUCUGCAUAAUGCAGCUUUAAAUAACUCAAGGCGCCCCUCCAAAAUGAAAGAAAAAGGCACUGGUUCUAAUAGCACGGACUUUGCUGAUUUUAAACACUUUGUUGAGGUAAAAAUGUACUUAAAACGUUUGUGAUGGGUUGUUGUCUCUCAACCUAUCCCGGCUGCAACCAGAUACAUUAUGAGGGAACCAGUUUUCCCUCUUUCUGUUUCUCAGAGGCAUCUAGUUUGUGGACCAGUGAAGACUCCUGGAAGUCACCUCAGUGCGGCCCAGUAUCUCCAACUGAGAAGAGUGCAGAUGAAGGAGGCCUCGGAGAUGAAGUACGGAGAACAAGUCAAAGGCCAGACUUGGGAUGACAUCAUCAAGGUCAUGACCUCAGCCACUGUGAGGUUUGAGCUGCUCUCAACGGUCCAUAUGAGCCCGGUCACCCUGGACGUGCAGAGGGAAGGCAGUGUGUCCACCAAAGGCCCCAGAGGCGGAGUCUUUGUCAUGUACAACUGUGCUCGGCUCCACACCCUCUUUGACAGUUACGAGCGAGGCAUGGAGAAGGGACUUUACCCUGAAAUCCCAGAGGGCUCCCAGUUGGACUUCUCAGCUCUAAAAGAAGAGGGGGAGUGGCUUCUUCUGUUCAAUUACCUCAUUCCAUUCUCUGAGCUUCUCGACCAAUCAGGACAGGCGUUGGAGUGUGAUGGAGGGGCCAGAGUCAACCUGAAGACUGAACAGAUCUGCAAGUUCCUGGUGUCUCUCAGUAAGGAUUUUAGCUCCUAUUACAACAGAGUCCACGUCCUUGGGGAGCCGUUGCCUCACCUCUUCAAUCAGAUGUUCUGUCGGCUGCAGUUGUUGAGAGCACUGAGAGAGCUCUACCAUCGCGCGUUGGAUACUCUUCACCUUCCUCCCAUCCGGCAGCUAUAGCCACAAAUACCCCAACUGUAGCCCCGAAUAUAGCCCCAACUGUAGCCCCAACAAAUGCGCCCAACAUACCCCAACAAAUGCCCCGAAUAUAGCCCCAACUGUAGCCCCAACAAAUGCCCCGAAUAUAGCCCCAACAAAUGCCCCGAAUAUAGCCCCAACAAAUGCCCCCAAAAUGCCCUGAAUAUAGCCCCAACAAAUGCCCCCAAAAUACCCCAACUGUAGCCCCAACAAAUGCCCCCAAAUACUCCAACUAUGCCCCAUGAACUUCCCCAAAUAUAAGGCCUAAUAACUGCCGUAAAUUAUCACUAGCCUAUCCCCUACAUGAAAUACACAUAUAAAUUUCACUUUUACUACUGUACUGUAGCUAUUAGGCUUUUAUCCCCCCCAAUUAAAACCCUGUGAAGUCCUCUUAUGUAUAUGUGACAUACACCUGGUAUUACACCCAGUCUAUUUACUGUUGAUGAAAGAAACUGUAGAGAUGAUUUGCACCCCUGUGUGAAGCCUUGGUCUCCCCAGACGUAUCACCAGUAUCUCUGAUGCACCACAGAUGCAGCCUCUACCAGAGACCCUCACUGCCUUUGAAACGAUGAACAUCUGCCUGUCUUCGGUCUUCCCUUCUACGAUACCAUAGACACUAUUCCGCUAACAGACAACUGCCCUAGAGCCAUAGAUAUAGUAUUUACACACACUGUUUGUACACCGUGUAAGCACUGCCCCCGUCCUCUUCACUAGAUAUUGCUCCUGGCCACCAUGAGCCAUUUACUGUCCCCUUCUCCCUUCCCCUCCUACUUGAAUAAUACAAAUAUAUAUAUUUCAUUGGAACUGGCUGUGUCAGUAUUAUAUAUAUAUAUACUGUGGUAAACCGUGGGGUGUUGGGUUGAGCGUGCAGAGAUUGACACAGAGACAGGGGGGGGCUUUAGUCUGCAAAAACAAAUAUAUCAAAGAAAUUGCUCGGUCUUCCUUCUCUCUCUUAACCGGUGUCCGUCUCUCACCCGCGGUGUGCCACCGUGCUCCUUUAAAAAAAUAAAUGUGUCCGUUAUUUUACCAGGUAAAUUGACUGAGAACACGUUCUCAUUUGCAGCAAAUGACCUGGGGAAUAGUUACAGGGGAGAGGAUGGGGAUGAAUGAGCCAAUUGUAAACUGGGGAUUAUUAGGUUACCGUGAUGGUUGGAGGGCCAGAUUGAGAUUUUAGCCAGGACAACGGGGUUAACACCCCUACGAUAAGUGCCAUGGGAUAUUUAAUGACCUCAGAGAGUCAGGACCCCCAUUUAACGUCCAAUCCAAAAGACUGCACCCUACACAGGGCAAUUCCUGGGGAAUUGGGAUAUUUUGUUUUUAGACCAGAGGAAAGAGUGCCUCCUACUGGCCCUCCAACACCACUUCCAGCAGCAUCUGGUCUCCCAUCCAGGAACUGACCAGUACCAACCCUGCUUAGCUUCAAAAGUAAGCCAGCAGUGGUAUGCAGGGUGGUAUGCUGCUGGUAUUUGGACUCCACGGCUGGUUGGCACUUUCCCAGGGUAGACCUCCUGGGAUACCACAAUAUAUAUAUGGAAUGAUACAUGUGACAUAGACUAACCCACCACCACCACCACCACCACAGUACUUCUGUUGUGCCAAAGUACUAUACAGUACUGUCCCAGAUCCCAGUUCUCCAUUGUCGCUCUGUGCCAUAUCUUGGGACUGUUGUUAUUGUGUACGUUUUUUGUGUUUUUAUGGUGACCCGAGCUUUACACAGACUCUCACUCUCUCCCACAAUGUUGUCAACUGUGCAUUGGGCCAAUAUAUUUUCCACCUAGAUCAAUAAAUGAGUGUUGACCUCGGUGA